rfam:Geobacillus sp. B4113_201601 NODE_89, whole genome shotgun sequence.
GUAAUCUGCUAGGGGAGUCCGAGAGCCGGGCUGAGAAAAGAACGCGGUGAAGUUCUUUGACCCUUUGAACCUGAUCUGGGUCAUGCCAGCGUAGGGAAGCAGGCAGCGGGAACA